GAUGAACGCUGGCGGCGUGCUUAACACAUGCAAGUCGAACGAUGAAGCCCAGCUUGCUGGGUGGAUUAGUGGCGAACGGGUGAGUAACACGUGAGUAACCUGCCCUUAACUCUGGGAUAAGCCUGGGAAACUGGGUCUAAUACCGGAUAGGAGCGUCCACCGCAUGGUGGGUGUUGGAAAGAUUUAUCGGUUUUGGAUGGACUCGCGGCCUAUCAGCUUGUUGGUGAGGUAAUGGCUCACCAAGGCGACGACGGGUAGCCGGCCUGAGAGGGUGACCGGCCACACUGGGACUGAGACACGGCCCAGACUCCUACGGGAGGCAGCAGUGGGGAAUAUUGCACAAUGGCGCAAGCCUGAUGCAGCGACGCCGCGUGAGGGAUGACGGCCUUCGGGUUGUAAACCUCUUUCAGUAGGGAAGAAGCGAAAGUGACGGUACCUGCAGAAGAAGCACCGGCUAACUACGUG
rnacentral:rRNA from 1 species